GACGAACGCCGGCGGCGUGCUUAACACAUGCAAGUCGAGCGGUAAGGCCCUUUCGGGGUACGACGAGCGGCGAACGGGUAGAGUAACACGUGGGUGACCUCGCCCUCCAGCUCUGGGAGUAAGACCUCGGGAAACCGGGUACCGUAAUAACUGGAUAUGACUCCAUGACGCAUGUUGUGGGGUGGAAAGCCUUGUGCGGCUGAGGAUGGGCCCGGCCGGCCUAUCAGCUUGUUGGUGGGGUGGAUGGCCUACCAAGGCGACGACGGGUAGCCGG
rnacentral:rRNA from 1 species